rnacentral:lncRNA from 1 species
GUUUCUUAAUGGGAAUGAAUGGUGUUGGAGAUAAGGGGAGAAUUCCUACUUUUCAUAUGCCAUGUGUGAGUUGGGUGAUCAAGCGUGGUGUAGGUGAUGAGCCGAAAAAGGGUGAAGUGUGUGAUGGAUCAUGAUGCCUGGUGUGCGUGUUGGGUGAUGGAGAGAAAAGGAGUGCCUCUCGUAAGUCUGUUGGGUGAUCCUCGUGAGGGUGAGGAUGAAAUUGGAUUCCCAAAAUCAAUUCCCUGUAACCAUUUUUCUCAGAACGCACCCUUCCAAAACAUCUCUGCUAACC